rnacentral:rRNA from 1 species
UACGAAGGGGGCUAGCGUUGUUCGGAUUUACUGGGCGUAAAGCGCACGUAGGCGGAUUGUUAAGUCAGGGGUGAAAUCCUGGAGCUCAACCUCCAGAACUGCCUUUGAUACUGGCAAUCUUGAGUCCGGAAGAGGUGGAGUGGAACUCCUAGUGUAGAGGUGGAAUUCGUAGAUAUUAGGAAGAACACCAGUGGCGAAGGC